UGGGGAAUAUUGCACAAUGGGCGAAAGCCUGAUGCAGCGACGCCGCGUGCGGGAUGAAGGCCUUCGGGUUGUAAACCGCUUUCAGCAGGGACGAAAUUGACGGUACCUGCAGAAGAAGGCCCGGCCAACUACUUGCCAGCAGCCGCGGUAAUACGUAGGGGCCAAGCGUUGUCCGGAUUUAUUGGGCGUAAAGAGCUCGUAGGCGGUUCGGCAAGUCAGCUGUGAAAUCUCCACGCUCAACGUGGAGGGGUCAGCUGAUACGGCUGUGACUUGAGUCCGGUAGGGGAGUGUGGAAUUCCCGGUGUAGCGGUGAAAUGCGCAGAUAUCGGGAGGAACACCAGUAGCGAAGGCGGCACUCUGGGCCGGUACUGACGCUGAGGAGCGAAAGCGUGGGGAGCAAAC
rnacentral:rRNA from 1 species